rnacentral:rRNA from 1 species
UACGUAGGGGGCAAGCGUUGUCCGGAUUUAUUGGGCGUAAAGAGCGUGUAGGCGGCCAGGUAGGUCUGCUGUGAAAACUCGAGGCUCAACCUCGAGAUGUCGGCGGAAACCAUCUGGCUAGAGUCCGGAAGAGGAGAAUGGAAUUCCCGGUGUAGCGGUGAAAUGCGCAGAUAUCGGGAAGAACACCCGUGGCGAAGGCGGUUCUCUGGGACGGUACUGACGCUGAGACGCGAAAGCGUGGGGAGCGAACCGG